GACGAACGCUGGCGGCGUGCCUAAUACAUGCAAGUCGAACGCAUUUUCUUUCACCGUAGCUUGCUACACCGACAGAAAAUGAGUGGCGAACGGGUGAGUAACACGUGGUUAACCUGCCCAUCAGCGGUGGAUAACACUUGGAAACAGGUGCUAAUACCGCAUAAUUCCAUUUACUGCAUGUUAGAUGGCUGAAAGGCGCUUUUGCGUCACUGAUGGAUGGACCCGCGGUGCAUUAGCUAGUGGGUGGGGUACCAGCCUACCAAGGCUGGGAUGCAUAGCCGCCCUGCGAGGGUGCUAGGCAUCGCUGGGAUGGAGACACGACCAAGAAUCCUGCGGGAGGCAGCCGUCGCGGAUCUUUGGCGAUGGACGCAAGUGUGAACGUGCAACGCCGCGCGAGUGACGAAGGUUGUAAGAUCGUAAGACUCUUGAGUUAGAUAGGAUUGUAGAUCUGUGUGGAAAGUUAUGACAAUGACGGUACCUGAACAGUAAGCCCCGGCUAACUCCGUG
rnacentral:rRNA from 1 species